rnacentral:rRNA from 1 species
UACGUAGGGUGCAAGCGUUGUCCGGAAUUAUUGGGCGUAAAGAGCUUGUAGGCGGUUUGUCGCGUCUGCUGUGAAAUUUCGGGGCUCAACCCCGAACUUGCAGUGGGUACGGGCAGGCUAGAGUGUGGUAGGGGAGACUGGAAUUCCUGGUGUAGCGGUGAAAUGCGCAGAUAUCAGGAGGAACACCGAUGGCGAAGGCGGCUCUCUGGGACGGUACUGACGCUGAGACGCGAAAGCGUGGGGAGCGAACAGG